UACAGAGGUCUCAAGCGUUGUUCGGAUUCAUUGGGCGUAAAGGGUGUGUAGGUGGCGCCGUAAGUCGGGUGUGAAAUUUCGGAGCUUAACUCCGAAACUGCAUUCGAUACUGCGGUGCUUGAGGACUGGAGAGGAGACUGGAAUUCAUGGUGUAGCAGUGAAAUGCGUAGAGAUCAUGAGGAAGACCAGUGGCGAAGGCGGGUCUCUGGACCUGUACUGACGCUGAGGAGCGAAAGCGUGGGGAGCGAACAGG
rnacentral:rRNA from 1 species